CAGAAAAAGAAAAUAACUACCCCCACAUCUGCACCACGUUCCCAUUCCCGCAUUUCCUAUUGCACGAUCAAGCACACAUGUAUGCUGCCAACACAUAAGUAAUUGUAGAGAGACGUACUUUUACAAUUUCAGGUUACUGCUACUCUCCAACUUUUUCUCAAAUCUAGAAAAGAAGGAUACCAACGGAGGAGAUCAGAGACGUAAAAAGACAGAGAGAACAAUUCGGAGCCUAUUGGACUUCAAUUACUUUACUCAUUUCCAGUGUUCUUAGUCAUAUUGGGACGCAACAUUCAAUUAUAAAGAUUGUACGUGCACGCUGUUAUGCAUAUCAAAUAAUGUGGAGGUUUUGAUCCACUACUUGGACUGGAACAGAAAAAAGAGAUUUCUUUUCUUUGAUGAUGAGGGAAACGGAUAGCAGCACCAAGUACCAACGAAGAUAAAUUGUUUUUUGAUGAGUCCUACAAGUCCAAAGCCUUGAAAUGGGAAAAGAUCGACUACUCCAUCCCCUAAUGGGCUGGUGGGCAAGCCUUAGUAACCCAAGCUGAUUAUUGCAGUUGCUCGAAAGAAAUAGAGUCAUCAUACACAACAACAAAUGAAAAAAGGAAAACUCGAGUUCUUCUCAGGAUCACGAAACACAAGCAAAAAAGAAAUUCACAGAAAAGUAAAUGAUCAGAUGUGACGCACAUCAUAAGAAGGGCAUCAUCUCACCAGCUCAUUUCGUGUAAUAAAAAAAUGUUCAUGAAAGGAAGUUUGUAAAUAAGCUCUUGGUGAUGGUGCAUGCAGGUUCUACAACGAUAUCGUGAAAAAUAUGCCAUUAGAGGAGACAACUGCUUGGUAUGUCAAGAGUCUAUUAUCUAUGUUUAAUUUUUUUCCAGUUGAAGGGAGGGGAUGGUUCACAUGAGUUAAUACAUUGGCAAUUGAGGGGAGAGGAUGGUUUAAAUGAGUUGAUCUUCUUAUCAAUGAUCUUUUUCUUAAUUCAGAUAGUUGUAUUUAAAUACUUAUGGUAUUUGGUUUACUAUGGACUUGGUACUUUGGGUAAAUUGGUGCUCAAUUUAGUUCAGAGACACUGAUUGACUGAGCUCCGGUAGCACUUUUCUUAAUUUCUAAAUUUAUAGAGAUAGGGCUUCUUUGAUUAUCCUA